UGCCAGCAGCCGCGGUAAUACGAAGGGGGCUAGCGUUGUUCGGAAUUACUGGGCGUAAAGCGUAUGUAGGCGGAUUAGAAAGUUAGGGGUGAAAUCCCAGGGCUCAACCCUGGAACUGCCUCUAAAACUCCUAUCUUGAGUUCGAGAGAGGUGAGUGGAAUUCCGAGUGUAGAGGUGAAAUUCGUAGAUAUUCGGAGGAACACCAGUGGCGAAGGCGGCUCACUGGCUCGAUACUGACGCUGAGGUACGAAAGCGUGGGGAGCAAACAGGAUUAGAUA
rnacentral:rRNA from 1 species